UACGUAGGGUGCGAGCGUUGUCCGGAAUUACUGGGCGUAAAGAGCUCGUAGGUGGUUUGUCGCGUUGUUCGUGAAAACUCACAGCUUAACUGUGGGCGUGCGGGCGAUACGGGCAGACUGGAGUACUGCAGGGGAGACUGGAAUUCCUGGUGUAGCGGUGGAAUGCGCAGAUAUCAGGAGGAACACCGGUGGCGAAGGCGGGUCUCUGGGGCAGUAACUGACGCUGAGGAGCGAAAAGCGUGGGGGAGCGAACAGG
rnacentral:rRNA from 1 species